rnacentral:rRNA from 1 species
AUAGAACCUGAAACCCUGCACUUACAAGCUGUGGAAGCACAUUUCUUGUGUGACCGCGUACUUUUUGUAGAACGGGCCAACGAGUUACGUUAAGUAGCAAGGUUAAGCACUUAAGGUGUGGAGCCGUAGCGAAAGCGAGUUUUAACUGAGCGUUCAGUUACUUGACGUAGACCCGAAACCGGGCGACCUACCCAUGAGCAGGAUGAAGCGAAAGUAAAAUUUCGUGGAGGUCCGAACCCACGAGCGUUGAAAAGCUCGGGGAUGACUUGUGGGUAGCGGUGAAAUUCCAAUCGAGCCCGGAUAUAGCUGGUUCUCCCCGAAAUAGCUUUAGGGCUAGCCUCAAGGUGAGAGAUACGGAGGUAGAGCACUGAAUGUCCUAGGGGGUAUUGCACCUACCGAAGACUAUCAAACUCCGAAUGCCGUCAUCUU